rnacentral:lncRNA from 1 species
UGUAAAUAGAAAACCCUUACCCUCUGGUGAGCGCUGCCUCGAAUGUGCUCCUCAGAGGGUAAUCAGGAGGUUGAUAAUGGAAUCGGUUGGUUAUGACAUUUUUUUGCAACUGCUCGCUCUGGGCUCGGUAUCGAUUUGACUCCACAAACAAGGCAGGCUACAAGAGUGCAUCACGCUCCUGUUAACCAAAGAACCCCCAGAGAUGAUCAAGGAGACAUUUUCUAGGUGCUGUACCAACACAGAGGAAUGCUGAGCAACUUCCGUAUUACUUUGGAGCUCCAGAGACACAAGUGAUGAGGAAGAGUGUUACACAGCGAUUUCUCAAGGACAUGGCAGUAGAGAGGAGGUCAGAUGAGUGGAUCAUAGACAGGUGUGGAGAUGGAGUGCAGAAGGAAAAAAUC